rnacentral:sRNA from 1 species
UUUCACCUUGAGCUCUGGACCUUAAUUUUGAAAAAGUAGUCAUUGGUACUUAAAUGGGUGCAAAGGGGUGGCCAUAGUGAAGGAGGGGCCAGGAGCAAGUCUGAAGUCUCUAGGAUAGGAGAGGAAGGGUAGUUCCUUGGUUAGGGGCUCGAUGCUGGAGUCUUGGUUUAAAUCCUGGCUCUGCCACUUACUGACUGUGUGACCUUGGGCAAGUUACUUACCUUCUCUGUGUCUCUGUAUUCUCAUUUUGUAAAGUGGGGGUUAUGAUGAUCAGUUUACAGUCCCUUAUCUGACACCCUUGGGGCCUGAUAUGUUCUGGAAUCUUUUUGCUUUUAGAAAGGCGAUGAGCUACCUCAAUGCUGUCUUCUGAUUUGCCCCUAGUGGGUUUGGGGAAGCACUCUGUGAUCAAACACACUAGUAUUUCUGGAGUGAAAUCGAUGGGUAUCCAGAGUAGUUGGGAUAAAUCAAGACCAUAAAUAACCUCAUGUAGCCAGGUGCGGUGGCUCACACCUGUAAUCCCAGCACUUUGGGAGGCUGAGGCGGGCGGAUCACCUGAGGUCAGGAGUGCGAGACCAGCCUGGGCAACGUGGCGAAACCCUGCCUCUACUAAAAAUACAAAAAUUAGCCAGGCGUGGUGUCUGGCACCUAUAAUCCCAGCUACUUGGGAGGCUGAGGCAGGAGAAUCGCUUGAACCCAGGAGGCGGAGGUUGCAGUGAGGUGAGAUGGCGCCACUGCACUCCAGCCGGGGCAACAGAUUGAGACUGUCUCAAAAAAACAAACAACAAACAAACAAAAACAUCAUGUCAUUUCAGACCAGAUUUUGAAAUUAGAUACCUCUUUACCCCCAUUUUUAAAAAGUUAUGUAUAUAAUUAGAGCAGUGCUGUCCAAUAGAAUGUCAUAUUUUAUUUAUUUAUUUGUUUGUUUGUUUGUAGAGACAGGGGUCUCACUACUGUGCCCAGGCAGGUCUCAAACUCCUGGGCUCAAGCGAUCCCCCUGCCUUGGCCUCCCAAAGUGCUGGGAUUACAGGCGUGCGCCUUGUUUUAUAUUCUCUUAAUUUACUUAUGUCUGAAUGAGCCCCACGUGGCUCGUGGCCGCUGUACCAGACACAGUGGUUUAGAGUUGGGGGAAUUUGGGCCUUGCUGAAGAGGGUCUCACCCAGCCUGUCCUGAGGAUUGGAGGGUCCAGGGUGCAGUCUGGUGCCUGGCAGGUAGUAGGUGCUCACUGCACACAGCUCCUCCCAGCUCGGUCGGGGGAGCCUCAUCCUAACCGCGUGGGUUUUCUUUGCCCGGAUUCUGCAGACGAGUACGUGUCUUCCUCCCGCUCGCUCGGCCUCCCCCUCGCAGCCUCUUCCGAGGGUCAUCGGCUCCCCGGCCACGGCCCCCCGUCGUCUUCAGCUCCCGGGGCCUCCGCCCAGCCCCCUCCACACCUGCCCACCAAGCUUGUGAUCCGGCACGGCGGGGCAGGCGGCUCCCCUUCGGUCACCUGGGCCCGGGCGUCCUCCUCCCUGUCCUCCUCCUCCUCCUCCUCUGCCGCCUCCUCUUUGGACGCCGACGAGGACGGCCCCAUGCCCUCCCGCAACCGCCCGCCCAUCAAGACCUACGAGGCCCGGAGCCGCAUCGGGCUCAAGCUCAAGAUCAAGCAGGAAGCCGGGCUCAGCAAGGUGGUGCACAACACGGCCCUGGACCCCGUGCACCAGCCCCCGCCACCCCCCGCCGCCCUCAAGGUGGCCGAGCCCCCGCCACGGCCGCCGCCGCCACCGCCGCCCACGGGCCAGAUGAACGGCACGGUGGACCACCCGCCGCCUGCCGCCCCCGAGCGCAAGCCCCUGGGCACCGCCCCGCACUGCCCGCGCCUGCCGCUGCGCAAGACCUACCGCGAGAACGUGGGGGGCCCUGGCGCGCCGGAGGGGACGCCCGCGAGCCGGGCACGGGGAGGCAGCCCGGCGUCGCUGCCCGCCAAAGUGGACGAGGCCACCAGCGGGCUCAUCCGCGAGCUGGCGGCCGUGGAGGACGAGCUGUACCAGCGUAUGCUUAAGGGCGCCCCGACAGAGCCCGCAGCCACCGCUGCCCAAGGCACCGGGGACCCCGACUGGGAGGCGCCCGGGCUGCCCCCUGCCAAGCGGCGCAAGUCCGAGUCGCCCGACGUGGACCAGGCCAGCUUCUCCAGCGACAGCCCGCAGGAUGACACGCUCACCGAGCACCUGCAGAGCGCCAUCGACAGCAUCCUGAACCUGCAGCAGGCCCCCGGCCGGACGCCCGCGCCUUCGUACCCCCACGCUGCCCCGGCCGGCACCCCCGCCUCCCCGCCGCCCCUGCACAGGCCCGAGGCCUACCCGCCCUCCAGUCACAACGGCGGCCUCGGCGCCAGGACGUUGACCAGAUAACACCGGGCCGCCUCCCCUUCCCCGUCCCCUCCUCCUGAAGACGCCGGGACAGCCGGGUGUCCGCCCUCAGCCUCCUGGGGACUCGAGCCGGGGAUCCCCUGACGGUUUUUCUUGCCUAAGUUAUUUGAGUCACAAAGGCCUCCUUCCCUGCCGCCUGCUUCAGCUGGGUUGCUGGGGGGUGGGCGUGGAUUUAGGGGAGGGGGCUGUAAUGUAAAACGUCUCCCCUGCCAAAGGAGGGGCAAAGUGCCGUGUCAGUUCCUGUGUCUUGUCAUUUCCUGGCACACUCUGCCCCUCUGUCCGGGGGACACGCGCGCGUGUUUGCCAGGGAUGGGGCCACCAGGUUGAUGCCAACGCUCCGGGUGCCUGUCUUGUCCGUGUGGUUUCUCAGAUGGUGGAGGGUGCUGGGAGCUGGCAGGGUCCUUCCAGACAGUCUCAGCCUCUCCCCACCGCCCCCAACAGGCUGUCAAACAAAACCGGAGAGGGGGUGGGGGAGCCAGCCUCCCAGCGUGCUGUGCCCGCAGGCACCCGUGUGACAUCCGCACGUCCAGCUCCGUGACCUGUGUCUGUGUGUGUGCGUAAGUGAGUGAGAGAUUUCGAACGCCCACCCCUCGACUUUGAAAUCUGAGCAAAACAAGAAACUGGGGUCUUCCUCUCCCCCGAACCCCUCCCCAGCUAGUCUUCCCUCUGUUCUUCCUGCCUCCAGCCGCCCGCGCCAGAUUUUGAAAUCUCGGAGACAAAACUAGUACUGUAAGAUAAAUUUUUUUGUACUGUAUUUAUUGUGUAUAACGAUUUUUUUAAAGGAGAAUUCUGUACAUUUAGAACUCUUGUAAAUUAAAAACCGAUCCUUUUUUUAAAACUGU